rnacentral:rRNA from 1 species
CCGGGUUGAUCCCGCCAAGAGUCAUAUGCUUGUUCAAAGAUUAAGCCAUGCAUGUAAGUAUGAACUAUUUUAGACUGUUAAACCGAAUGGCCUCAUUAAAUCGUUAUAGUUUGUUUGAUGGUACGUAAGCUACUCGGAUAACCGUAGUAAUUUAGAGCUAAUACGCGCAACAAACCCCGAUUCCUAAGGGAUGCAUUAAUUAGAUAAAAGGUCGACGGGCUUUGCCCGCCGCCCGGUUGAUUCAUGAUAACUCGACGGAUCGCACGCCCUCGCCGUUCUGCCGACGAUCAUUCAAAUUAAUGCCCCAUCAACUUUGGUAGAAUAGGGGCCUACCAUGGUGGUGACGGUGACGGAGAAUUAGGGAUCGAUUCGAGAGUGAGCCCGGAGAAACGCUACCACAUCCAAGGAAGGCAAAGAAAGGCCAAGAAAUUACCCAAUCCUCGACACGGGAGGUAGUGAAAUAAAUAAUAAUACCGGCUCUUUUGAACCGGGUAAUUGGAAUGAGUACAAUCUAAAUCCCUCAACGAGGAUCCAUUGAGGGCAAGUCCGGUGCCAAAGAAUCAUGGGUAAUUCCAGCCCAAUAGCUUAUAUUUAAGUUGUUGCAGUUAAAAAAGCUCGUAGUUGGACUUUGGGACGGUCGGUUGGCCCGGGCCGGUGGUGGAAACCGGUCGUCCCAUCCCUUCUAUCGCACGAUAUGCGUUUCUGGGCUUUAACCGGGAAGCCGGGUCGGCCUUUCCUCCAAGGCCAAGCUUUGAAGAAAUUAGAGUGUUUCAAAGCAAGCCCACGCUCGGAUACAUUAGCAUGGGAUAACAUCACGUGAUUUCGGUCCUAUUGUGUUGGCCUUCGGAUCGGAGUAAUGAUUAAGAGGGACAAAUGGGGUAUUCAGAUUUCAUAGUCGAGGUGAAAUUUUGGAUUUAUGAAAGACAACCAUCGCGAAAAGCAUUUGCCAAGGAUGUUUUCAUUAAUCAAGAACGAAAAGUUGGGGGCCUCAAGACCAUCGAUACCGGCCCUAGUCUCAACCAUAAACGAUGCCGCAUUGGGAUCGGGCGGAUGUUGCUUUUAGGACUCGCCGGCACCUUAUGAGAAAUCAAAGUCUUGGGUUCCGUGGGGAGUAUGGUCGCAAGGUCAAAACAUAAAGGAAUUGACUAAGGGCACCAUCAGAGGGAGCCUCAUGGGUUUAAUUUGACUCAACACGGGAAACUUACCAGUCCGCAUAGCAAGGAUUGACGCAUCAACAGCUCUUUCUUUUGAUUCUAUGGGUAGGUGCAUGGCCGUUUUAGUUGGUGGAGUUUAUUUGUCCGGGUUAAUUCCGAUAACUUAACGAGACCUCAAACCGCUAACUAGCUACGCUGAGGCAUCCUCUCCGCCAGCUUCUUAGAGGGACUAUGGCCAUUUAGGCCACGGAAGUUCGAGGCAAUAACAGGUCUGGUGAUGCCCUUAGAUGUUCUCGGGUCAGCGACGCCGCCAUUAAUCGAUGUAUUCAACAAGUUCAUAGCCUUGGCCGGUUGCGGCUCCCGUAAUCCUUUUGAAAAUUUCAUCGAUGGGGAUAGAUCAUUGCAAUUGUUGGUCUUCAACGAGGAAUUUAGUAAGCGAAGUCAUCCCUCGCUGACUACGCCCCCGCCCUUUUGUACACCACCGUCCCCCUCCUACCGAUUGAAUGGUCCUGAAGCGGUUCGGAUCGAGAUGACGGGCGGUUCGCCGCCCGCCGACAUCGAGAAGUCCAUCGAACCUUAUCAUUUAGAGGAAGGAGAAGUCGAAUAAGGUUUUCAUAGGUGAACCCGCGGAAG